CCUUUGCCUCCUCUCGUUUCCUCUCCUCUCUUUGUUUCCUCUCCUAUUUGUUUCCUCUCCUCUUUGUUUCCUCUCCUCUCCUUGUUUCCUCUCCUUGUUUCCUCUCCUCUCGUUUCCUCUCCUCUUUUUGUUUCAUCUCCUCUCCUCUCAUUUCCUCACCUCUCUUUGUUUCCUCUCCUCGUUUUCUCCUCUCCUCGUUUUCUCUCCUCUCUUUGUUUCCUGUCCUCGUUUCCUCUCCUCUCUUUGUUUCCUUUCCCCUCGUUUCCUCUCCUUUCUUUGUUUCCUCUCCUCGUUUCCUCUCCUCUUGCUUCCUCUCCUCUUGUUUCCACUCCUCUCUUUGUUUCCUCUCCUCUUGUUUCCUCUCCUCUCUUUGUUUCCUCUCCUCUUGUUUCCUCUCCUCUAUUUGUUUCCUCUCCUCUUGUUUCCUCUCCUCUUGUUUCCUCUCCUCUCUUUGUUUCCUCUCCUCUCGUUUCCUCUCCUCUUUGUUUCCUCUCCUCUCGUUUCCUCUCCUCUUUGUUUCCUCUCCCCUCGUUUCCUCUCCUCCUUGUUUCCUCUCCCCUCGUUUCCUCCUCUCCUCCCCUCUCCGCUGGCCGUUUGCCACAUCUGUCUUUUUGUUCUUUUUCCCACCGACUGGAAUCUAGAGAAACUCCUUUUCCCAUUUCUCUCCACGCUGCAUUGGGAACAUGCUCGGCCUUCCUCCUCCCGCACUGUGAAUGGAUGUGUGGAUGGAGAGGGACUCGCUGGGACUCUUUCUUCCCCAGCAGCCUCACCAGUGUUUUGCCCUCAUCAAUCCUCUUGUCAGUUCACACGACUGAACUCGCGGCCUCUUCCUCCCCACACACACGGUGCCCUCGCUCCGUCGUGGUCAUGAAACAUGCAGACUGCCCGGCUCGCAGGGCAAACGGGGUCCGUGACGGCGUUUCUGACCAACUCAGCCUCGCUGUCAGCGCCGGCAUCCACUCAGGGUUCGGCCGUUUUCGUUUCCCUCCAGCGUUUUACUGUCUUGGCGUCUGUAGUUCCAGGAGCAGAUGGGCCAAAGCUGUGAUUUUCCGUCCCUUUUAA
rnacentral:lncRNA from 1 species